AUAUUUUAGAAUUCGGUGACCUUCAAUGAUGUGCAUGUGAAAUUCAGCCAAGAAGAGUGGGCCUUGCUGGAACCUUCCCAGAAGCAACUCUACAAAGAUGUGAUGCUAGAGACCUGUGAAAACCUCACUGCUAUAGACUACAAUUGGGAUGACCAUAAUAUUGAAGAAUAAUUUCAAAGUUCUACAAGUAAUGAAAGAGUUGCACACCCUGAACCUGACUGUCCACCUCAUCAUGGGAAUGAGAAUUUCCACAGAGGAGCCGUGUCUACACAGUCUGACUGACCGACCAGAACUGGAGUGAUGUGGAGACAUUGGUGUAUCCAGAGUCUGAUAACAAUUUGUCUUGGGCCAUCUUUAGACCCUGUUGGCCAUUCCUUGCCAGCCAUUUUU